rnacentral:tRNA from 1 species
GGAUGUGGCUCAGCGGUAGCGCGCUCGCCUCGCAUGCGUGCGGCCCGGGUUCAAUCCUCAGCACCA